ACCUGGGUGGCUCAGUCAGUUAAGCGGCUGACUUUGGCUCAGGUCAUGAUCUCACGGUUUGUGGGUUCAAGCCCCACGCUGGGUU
rnacentral:tRNA from 1 species